AUGCCUACCACGCCAUGUGAGGGCUACACAGUCCUUCAGAAAGCAAAUAAAAAGAUCGCUGACCUGAAAGAAGACAUCCGUCGGCUCUCCAAUGAACUAAAAAAGAAGGAUUCACUCCUGUCCAGUUUCAUGGAAGUAGCAUCUGAGCAGUCCAAACAAAUCACUUCCCUCAACACAACUAUCCAGGACACCGUCAAAUGGGACCCUGUCGCCAACCUUCGGCUUUCUUCCUGCUCAACUCCUAACCAUCAGGAGUCAUGGGCUGAGGUGGUGGUCCGUGGUAGGACCAGUCGGGAGGUCCGGUCUGCCUCGCCACCGCACCUGGACCUCUCCAACCGCUACACGGUACUGUCCGAUGACGCCACGGCCCACCCAGGUGACCCGGCUGUCGCUCCAGCUGCUCCGACUCGCCUUGUCCUGGACCCAUCGCCGAGCACGACAUCAGCCGACACUGUCACUUCACCUCGGGAAAACAGUGUCCAGGCGGGCAGCCACUCGACCGUGAGGCCGGACCGACGGCCGCUGCCCAAAGCAACAUCGUCUUCCCGCUGUAAGAUGUUAAGGGACGCCGUACUCAGACGGUCUGGACGUCUUCCUCGCACUGAGCCGAGAGAGGAUCCUCCGUCUGGGUUCAAGGCCCCCGGACCCCAGUCACAUCACACACCUGCCCAGGCUGACCACCUCCAGCCGGUGACCACCGGCGUGCAGGCGGGUCGCGCACUUCCAGACCACGGGAGUCCCCAGCCGUCACCUCCCCGUACUCGCCCCCUCUUCACCCCGACCACACUUAUAACCGGGGACUCCAUCAUCAGGAAUAUUCGGUUCUUCAACGUUGUCACUCGCUGUUUUCCUGGAGCCACCGUGCCAGAUAUCCUGGACAAGCUCCCGGGGCUGCUGCUCUCACUCCCCUCCUCUAUCAGUCGGGUGAUAGUCCACGUCGGGACCAACGACUUAGCCCAGGAGCAGUCAGAGCUGACCAAAAAGGAUUUUAAUGGUCUUUUAUCCUUUUUAAGUACCUGUGAUGGGAAUGCUGUUGGUGGUGGCAGCUGGGGCUAUUGGUGACUGGUGCUGGCGACGGCUGCAGGUGAUGACUGCUGAAAGACGAGGAGGCUGGGGGCUGCUGACGGUGGACCAGGAAUGGAGAUGCCAAGUACAUCCAUGGCAACGAGUAAGGUGUUCGGCAGUGGCCUAGAUGCUAUGACCUUCGGUUCAGAUGUCUGUUGUUUCUUCUUUGCCUUCUUACUCUGACUCUUGCUGCCAAGAUACCCUUUAUUUUUUUCCUUCCUCUCAGCCCUGAUACACUUUGAAGCAAUCCUUAACCUCAGCCUGAUGUAUGUGGAGAUUAUUUUUUUCUUCAGGUCAUGGCAUGAGGGAAGGUUGCUGUGCAGUAACAUGGCCUUUUGUUCCAGCUGUGCCACUGCAUUUGAGGACUCCAUGAGGGAAUCACUCGUCUGCCCACGGAACAGCUGCUCCACGUUCUGAACAAGAGUGAAAACCUCAUCAGAUGGACGGAAAAGUGCGCCCCUUUUAAAUUCUUUUAAUUCCAGCAGGACAGCUCUCUCAUUUUCAUUGCUGACAUUUUGCACUAGUGCACACUUGCAUUUGUCACAAAGUGAGAAGCUGAUGACUCUUUUCACUAUGUAUCCUGCCAGGUGGUACAGCACACAGGACUCGGUUUUGGUGAUGUCAGGUGUUGAUAUCAGGUCUACCAGCUGCUCCACUCUUAGAACAUCAGGAGGACAGCAGGUGCUGUUCUGCGUGUCCAGGAAGUCUGCCAAGUGGUCGGAUCCAUCCUCCAGGUAACUGCCAGUAUGCACUGGCGAUAGGAACUGGCCCACGGUGACAGCAUAUUGGAACUCUACAGGUGUUGGGACAGAGUUCCUCAGACGAAUGGACGAAAAUGUGUUUUCCAGGCAGUCCUGGGUGAAGCGGCUUGUGAGGACAAAUUUGUGCCCUUGACUCAACAAGUCAUGCUGGACCUCCAGGAUUGUUGUUGUGGCCAUCACCAGUCCUGUCUGGACUGGUUUCCAGCUGCCCUUGGGACCGAUCUUCAGGCCCCGAAACAGAUGGAUGGAGUCCCGGAGGAAGCUGAUGGCCUUAUCAUACUCCUCCAUCUUGAAAUGACUCAGGGCAGUAACUACGUUGCGUGAUAACAUGAGGUCAAACCAGUGGUCCACCUUCUCCAAAAACCAUGAAGUGGUAAGGUAGGAUUCUGGUCUGUGCUCCUCCGCCACCAUGUACCUCAGGGCAGCACUUGUUGACUUGCUAAAGACAUGCAUCGCUGAACUAACCUUCAUCUUCUAAAAAUGGCUAGGCUCCAGGAUGCCUCUAGACAACUUGGGUGCCAGCUUUAGGGCCAUGCCCUCUUGGAAUGAUACAAGAUCUUUCAGAGGGCCGACAGACACCUGACUGGAAGGCAGCUUCUCCUUGUCCACUUCAUCUUGUGGUAUGGUGAUAACGUGACCAUUGACCAAGGCACUCUUCAAGUUCUUCACAAUGUGUGGCACGUCAGCCAUGAAGUACAGGCGCUGAUGUGGCUCCACAGGAUGUACUAUCCACGGCUUGGCACAGGUCACCCCAAAAGACUUCCACAUUGCCCUAUUGGGGCUCCCCAUGUCAGUGGUGAUGUUUACCACAUGAAGCCCUAUCGACGCGGCUGCUUCCAAGAUGUUGAGUAUUAUAGGCCGGUACACUGCGCCAUCAGUAGAAUUACUGCUGUAAUGGUAAGCCACAACCUGUUUCCACCGUGUGGUCGCACCAGCCAGCAUGAACACUAAGGCAUGAGUGGCCUGGCCUUUGUGGCCAGGUAGUGUUGUGUUUCCAAACAGCCUCCCUGUUCCCAGAUGCAGCUCGACGCUAGGGGUGAUGGACAUCUCAUCUAAGGUGAGCACACAUUUCUUUUCCAUUUCAUUCAUGCCAUCUGCCUUUAGCCUCAGCAUAUCAAAGACCUCCCCCAACACUCCUGGCUCCAUUUUGACAUGCUGCAUCCUCCUCUGAAAGGUCCUGAUGUCAGGCAGAGGCAUAUUCAUGGAUUGGAGGGUUUUGUAUUCGGUCGUGCCACAACAGAACCUAAUUCCAAUUGCUUUUUUCACGGUUUCUUUGCCCCACCGUAUCCCCCUUUUUUUGAAUGCCCAAGUGCUCUAAUUUGGUCUGUGUUAAAGAUUUUUUUAAACUUUUGAUUAAUCAAAUUGUGUUUUUUUCUUAAUGCCAAAUUAAUCCUUUUCUGUUUUACCAGAGCCCUCUCUGCUCUCCUUCUGAGUAGCCUCUCCAUUCUGAGUUGCCUCAUUAGGUUCUCCACCUGAGCCCGGUCACAACUGGCCCUUGGCAAUCUGGUCCCUGGAGCACCUGACCCUGGUAAACUGGCCUCUUCAUUCCUCAACCCUGACUGACUGGCCCCUGGCAGUCUGCUGACAUCGGUUUCACUCUCUCUGUCUGUUAUGUCUCUUUCAUUCCCUUUGAUCUCCACCUCAAUUUCUCCCUCAAUCUCUGUAACAAUAACAAGGUAUUCUUGCUGUUACAUGUGUAUGCUGCCUUUAGAUUUGCACCUAUUUUCAUUUAAGGGUACACUACACUCCUAUAGUGACAUUCAUCUAAGUUUAUCUAUUGGAAAUGGUAAACUAUGAAGAAAUCUGUAGAUUAUCUACAUGUGGCAUAUGAAUCUUCAGGAAAUCCCUGAACUCUGGUUGUUUUGAAGCUGUAUGUACUAAUCUGGAGGUUGCAUUAGGAGUGUAGUCUAUCCUUGAAUUAUAUAACAUGAGAAACAUUGUUAGCUGUAUAUAUCGUACCGAUGUUUGAUGUGCCAUAAUAGUUGUGGUCAUCAUUCCUGACAUUAACAGCUGGAGGCUGGAGACUCCUUGAAGUGGCUUUCCUCCUUUUCGGCUUAGGCCGAUGUACAAAUACUGUCGGCACAGCAUCUGGCCUCAGCCUCAAAUUUCCUCCUGAUUUGCUGGCAAUAAAUUGGUCAUCUUCAAAGUGUACCUGUAGGUAAGCUUGUAAAAUCAGUUUCCACUGAACACUUCAAAUGUCAUUUAAGAGUCAUAAUUCUCUACACUUUGAAAUAUGAUGCCCUUUAAAAUGUUAACAAGUCAUGUCACCUCUGUGAACAUUACUUACAUGACAGAGUUUUCUGCUGUUGUUGUCCUCUGUCAGACACAGGUUUUGUCUUUUGACCAUUGCCAUCCAUCUCUUCCUUCGCUCUAUGUUCUUAGGGAAGCCAUACAUAUGGAACCCCUUCUCAGAACGGUUGGAGCAUCCAAAUGCUGCACAUCCAACCAUGGUAAGACCACUGAUCUAUUAAAAUGUUGGUGGUGAACAAUAGCUAUCACAACUCGGACAUCAUUGAAAAUCAGAGAGCGGGUGACAACUUCUCCCCAACCACUAAUGUCCCUCUGACUUGGAUUAGGUAAGAGGUCAGAGUACAUGAUCAAACCAGGAUCCUCCUCUCUCACUCUUUAUCAUGUUUUGAGUUUGCUCAGGGCUGUUAUGAUGAUGGCUGUUGUGGUAAUGACACACUGUAUGGUAUGUUUGUGAUGUUAGAAUAUGUUGUGAUUGGGUUGUCCCAAGUAUAUAGUGCUACCUGCUAUGUCCUCUGUUGAGUCUGCUUUCAACUGUAUUCACUCCCCUUAUUCACCACUGUCCCUAUUCUUACUCUGCUUUUUAGGGCCCAGGAAACAGAACAGAAAAAGGAUGUCCCUUUCACAAAGGAACCUUUGUUUUUUUUUUCUAAUUUUCUGGAUUGCUUUUUUGUAAAUAGUUGAAGUAGUUGUAGAAUUUUCACACACACACACACACACACACUCACACACCUUAAAGGAAUUGUUUUUUUUUUUUUAAGUGGGGUCAUAUAAAGUACAUAUCUAUAGUCGAUCUGUUCCCUACCUACCUACCGAUCAGUGCAGCCUCAGUUUGCAGGAGUAGAGAGCUGCUCCAGCCCAGACGCUCAGCUUUGUACUGCAGUGAACGUAUUCCAGAUGCAAAGCAAAUUCUAAGCACCUAAAACAAGGCCCACAUAAAAAAGUCUAUAUCAGUUAAAUGUACGAUGUAUAGACUAAAUUCACACUGCUUUACAUCGCUGUCAGACCGCCCUUUCUUUUUACAAAAUGUAGUACCAAAAGAAAGGGCAAUCUGACAACGUUGUAAAGCAGUGUGAAUUUUGUCUAUACAGUGUACACUUGAACUGAUAUAGAUUUUUAUUUUUUUUAUGUGGGCCUUGUUUUAGGUGCUUAAAAUUUGCUUUACAUCUGGACCCGUUCACUCCAGUACAAAGCUGAGCGUCUGGGCUGGAGCAGCUCUCUGCUUCUCCAAACUGAGGCUGCACUGAUCAUUGAUUACAGUAGGGAACAGAUCGACUAUAGAUACUUUAUAUGACCCCACUUCAAAAAACCCAAACUAUCCCUUUAAAAUACUUGUAUUUAUUUAUAUUCCACCGUCUAUACUUUUGUUCUCACAAUUGUUCUUCUUUCUCUCACACACACACACACAAACACAAGCACACGUUCUUGUUGUCUAUUGUUUAAUAAAAAAUACUUUAUUUGCAAAC
rnacentral:lncRNA from 1 species